GGGGGGGACCCUGAUGCAGCCAUGCCGCGUGAAUGAAGAAGGCCUUCGGGUUGUAAAGUUCUUUCGGUGAUGAGGAAGGCGUUUAUUUUAAUAGACUACUCGAUUGACGUUAGUCACAGAAGAAGCACCGGCUAACUCCGUGCCAGCAGCCGCGGUAAUACGGAGGGUGCGAGCGUUAAUCGGAAUAACUGGGCGUAAAGGGCACGCAGGCGGAUUGUUAAGUGAGAUGUGAAAGCCCCGAGCUUAACUUGGGAAUUGCAUUUCAGACUGGCAGUCUAGAGUAUUUUAGGGAGGGGUAGAAUUCCACGUGUAGCGGUGAAAUGCGUAGAGAUGUGGAGGAAUACCGAAGGCGAAGGCAGCCCCUUGGGAAUAUACUGACGCUCAUGUGCGAAAGCGUGGGGAGCAAACAGGAUUAGAUACCCUGGUAGUCCACGCUGUAAACGAUGUUGAUUUGGGGAUUGGGCUUUAAGCUUGGUGCCCGUAGCUAACGUGAUAAAUCAACCGCCUGGGGAGUACGGCCGCAAGGUUAAAACUCAAAUGAAUUGACGGGGGCCCGCACAAGCGGUGGAGCAUGUGGUUUAAUUCGAUGCAACGCGAAGAACCUUACCUACUCUUGACAUCCAAAGAAGUCCGCAGAGAUGUGAAUGUGCCUUCGGGAACUUUGAGACAGGUGCUGCAUGGCUGUCGUCAGCUCGUGUUGUGAAAUGUUGGGUUAAGUCCCGCAACGAGCGCAACCCUUAUCCUUUGUUGCCAGCGAUUAGGUCGGGAACUCAAAGGAGACUGCCAGUGAUAAACUGGAG
rnacentral:rRNA from 1 species